AUUGAACGCUGGCGGCAUGCCUAACACAUGCAAGUCGAACGAGUGGCGGACGGGUGAGUAAUGUCUGGGAAACUGCCCGCUGGAGGGGGAUAACUACUGGAAACGGUAGCUAAUACCGCAUACCAUCUGGUCUGCCCAGCUGGGAUUAGCUAGUAGGUGGGGUAACGGCCCACCUCGGCGACGAUCCCUAGCUGGUCUGAGAGGAUGACCAGCCACACUGGAACUGAGACACGGUCCAGACUCCUAAGGGAGGCAGCAGUGGGGAAUAGUGCACAAUGGGCGCAAGCCUGAUGCAGCCAUGCCGCGUGUAGGAAGAAGGCCUUCGGGUUGUAAAGUACUUUCAGCGAGGAGGCGUUACUCGCAGAAGAAGCACCGGCUAACUCCGUGCCAGCCGCCGCGGUAAUUC
rnacentral:rRNA from 1 species